rnacentral:rRNA from 1 species
UACGUAGGUGGCAAGCGUUGUCCGGAUUACUGGGCGUAAAGAGCGCGCAGGCGGUCGUCCAAGUCGCGUGUGAAAGCCCCCGGCUCAACUGGGGAGGUCACGCGAUACUGGUCGACUCGAAGGCAGGAGAGGGUAGUGGAAUUCCCGGUGUAGUGGUGAAAUGCGUAGAUAUCGGGAGGAACACCAGUGGCGAAGGCGACUACCUGGCCUGUUCUUGACGCUGAGGCGCGAAAGCUAGGGAGCAAACGGG